GACGAACGCUGGCGGCGUGCUUAACACAUGCAAGUCGAACGGUGAAGCGCCUUCCUUUUUGGUGGGUGUGGAUGAGUGGCGAACGGGUGAGUAACACGUGAGUAACCUGCCCCCUUCUUCUGGAUAACCGCAUGAAAGUGUGGCUAAUACGGGAUAUUCUGGGUCUGUCGCAUGAUGGGUCUGGGAAGGAUAUUGUUUCGGUGGGGGAUGGGCUCGCGGCCUAUCAGCUUGUUGGUGGGGUGAUGGCCUACCAAGGCGGUGACGGGUAGCCGGCCUGAGAGGGUGGACGGUCACACUGGGACUGAGACACGGCCCAGACUCCUACGGGAGGCAGCAGUGGGGAAUAUUGCACAAUGGGCGCAAGCCUGAUGCAGCGACGCCGCGUGAGGGAUGGAGGCCUUCGGGUUGUGAACCUCUUUCGCCAGUGAAGCAGGCCUGCCUCGUUUGUGGGUGGGUUGACGGUAGCUGGAGAAGAAGCGCCGGCUAACUACGUG
rnacentral:rRNA from 1 species